AAAUCAGGGAGAUACCACAAAGGUGGUUUUCCUAGGGCGAGGCUUAUCCAUUGCACUCUGGAUGUGCUGACCCCUGCAAUUUCCUCAAAUACGGGAAACUCUCGACUGCAUAAUUUGUGGUAGUAGAGGACUGCUUUCAAGCUCUCCCCCU
ensembl:snRNA U1 U1 spliceosomal RNA